AGCGAACGCUGGCGGCAGGCCUAACACAUGCAAGUCGAACGAACUCUUCGGAGUUAGUGGCGGACGGGUGAGUAACACGUGGGAACGUGCCUUUUGGUUCGGAAUAACUCAGGGAAACUUGUGCUAAUACCGAAUGUGCCCUUCGGGGGAAAGAUUUAUCGCCAUUAGAGCGGCCCGCGUCUGAUUAGCUAGUUGGUGAGGUAACGGCUCACCAAGGCGACGAUCAGUAGCUGGUCUGAGAGGAUGACCAGCCACACUGGGACUGAGACACGGCCCAGACCCCACGGGAGGGGAGAAUGGGGGAAUUUGGGAAAUGGGGGGAAAGCUGAAGCCGCACUGGCGGGGUAAUGGAGGAGGGCUUAAGGUUGUAAAAAUUUUUUACCCGGGGGGGUAAAGACGGUACCCGGGGAAAAAGCCCCGGCUAAAUUCGUG
rnacentral:rRNA from 1 species